rnacentral:rRNA from 1 species
CGGACGGGUGAGUAACACGUGGAUAACCUACCCAUAAGACUGGGAUAACUUCGGGAAACCGGAGCUAAUACCGGAUAAUAUAUUGAACCGCAUGGUUCAAUAGUGAAAGACGGUUUUGCUGUCACUUAUAGAUGGAUCCGCGCUGCAUUAGCUAGUUGGUAAGGUAACGGCUUACCAAGGCAACGAUGCGUAGCCGACCUGAGAGGGUGAUCGGCCACACUGGAACUGAGACACGGUCCAGACUCCUACGGGAGGCAGCAGCC